GUUCGUGUUUGUGUAUGUGUGUGUGUGAGAGAGAGAGAGGAGAGAGGAGGGGGAGACUCACACGGAGUCCUGCUUUUCUGAGCUGAGAGCUGACGGUUCCUAAGCAGAAAGUAUUAGGAGAAACACAGCAUCUUGUCUCUUUGCUGCAUUUACACAAUGAAAUCACUUCUAUUUUUAUUCUUGCUAACCGGCUGGUUUUGCUUGAAUCCACUCCGAGCGAUGGACAAUGGGAACGAACAAGUACUUAAAAACAACUAGACAAAAAAAAAAAAAAAAAAAGGAGGAAAAAACCCAAACAAACCCAACCACGCUGGGAUGAGGAUUACUCACUUUAGCGCUGGCUAUGCACUUUGCGACACUUUCAACCCGCCCCACGGCUCCAGCAAACUCAGGGCUGAGCUCCGGGAAGGACAAGCUGCUCUACCUCCACCUAAGAAUUGCACAAAUACAACUUCCAAGUGCUUUAGCCAGGAAAAGCCCUAGUUCUGCACCUGCCACCGGCUUCCCAAGGCGAGAGGAGGCCUUGAGCCACCUCCGCGCUUCCUGCAUGCCCUAGUUCGGCCCGGCUCGGCUCGACUCGGCUCGCUGCCCGCUCGAUGGGGCCUGCCUGCCGCAGAGACACCGCGUAGCUCCGGGGCCGGAGGAGCGAGCUGUCUCCGCACGGACAGCGAUCCGCUCUCGCCCGCUGCCCGCCGCUGCCUCGCCGGGACGGGCACAGCGGAAACAAAGCCCGUGGGGCACGGCGCGGCCUGGCCCGACUCCGUCGUGCUCCCGGCCCCUUGUCGGGCUCCGGGGUGCUGCGGGCGGGAGACUGGGGCGGUGAGGGACCGGGGGAUGCGGUGGUGCCGCAGUGAGGGGGGUCGCCUGCCGUGCGGGAAGGAUGACCUCUGGGUGAGCCGGCGAUCAGGCUCCUCUUCUUCGCUAUGACUGUACAAAUUCAUGUGACAUUGAGG